GCUUUGGGAUCAGACUAUAUCCUAUCAGUUAGUUGGUGAGGUAAUGGCUCACCAAGGCAAUGACGGGUAGCGGUUCUGAGAGGAUGAUCCGCCACACUGGUACUGAGACACGGACCAGACUCCUACGGGAGGCAGCAGUGAGGAAUAUUGCACAAUGGGGGGAACCCUGAUGCAGCAACGCCGCGUGGAGGAUGACGCAUUUCGGUGUGUAAACUCCUUUUAUAUGUCAAGAAAAUGACGGUAGCAUAUGAAUAAGCACCGGCUAACUCCGUGCCAGCAGCCGCGGUAAU
rnacentral:rRNA from 1 species